rnacentral:rRNA from 1 species
AAUGAACGCUGGCGGCGCGCCUAAUACAUGCAAGUCGAGCGAGAAGACGUAGCAAUACGUUUGUAAAGCGGCGAACGGGUGAGGAAUACAUGGGUAACCUACCCUAGAGUGGGGAAUAACUAGCCGAAGGUUAGCUAAUACCGCGUACGCUCCUUGGACUUCGGUUCAGGGAGGAAAGCGAUGCCGAGGGUAUCGCGCUCUUGGAUGGGCUCAUGUCCUAUCAGCUUGNGGUUGAGGUAACGGCUCACCAAGGCUUCGACGGGUAGCUGGUCUGAGAGGACGAUCAGCCACACUGGCACUGCGACACGGGCCAGACUCCUACGGGAGGCAGCAGUAAGGAAUAUUGCGCAAUGGGCGAAAGCCUGACGCAGCGACGCCGCGUGGGGGA